AUUGAACGCUGGCGGCAGGCCUAACACAUGCAAGUCGAACGAGUGGCGGACGGGUGAGUAAUGUCUGGGAAACUGCCUGAUGGAGGGGGAUACCUCCUGGAACCGUUAGUUAAUCCCGCAUACCUUAAGAUUUCCCCAGAUGGGAUUAGCUUGUUGGUGGGGUAACGGCUCACCCAGGCGACAAUCCCUAGCUGGUCUGAGAGGAUGCCCAGCCACACUGGAACUGAGACACGGUCCAGACUCCUACGGGAGGCAGCAGUGGGGAAUAUUGCACAAUGGGCGCAAGCCUGAUGCAGCCAUGCCGCGUGUAUGAAGAAGGCCUUCGGGUUGUAAAGUACUUUCAGCGGGGAGGCGUUACCCGCAGAAGAAGCACCGGCUAACUCCGUGCCAGCAGCCGCGGUAAUUC
rnacentral:rRNA from 1 species